rnacentral:sRNA from 2 species
AAAUCCUUUUAAGGGCAGUCCAGUGAGGCUGACAAAGGAGCGGUUAACAAGUACAUUAGUGGACCUGCUCUGUCUAGGAGUAGGUCUUUUUUUA